rnacentral:rRNA from 1 species
UGGCAAGUCGAACGCUUCUUUUUCCACCGGAGCUUGCUCCACCGGAAAAAGAGGAGUGGCGAACGGGUGAGUAACACGUGGGUAACCUGCCCAUCAGAAGGGGAUAACACUUGGAAACAGGUGCUAAUACCGUAUAACAAUCGAAACCGCAUGGUUUUGAUUUGAAAGGCGCUUUCGGGUGUCGCUGAUGGAUGGACCCGCGGUGCAUUAGCUAGUUGGUGAGGUAACGGCUCACCAAGGCCACGAUGCAUAGCCGACCUGAGAGGGUGAUCGGCCACAUUGGGACUGAGACACGGCCCAAACUCCUACGGGAGGCAGCAGUAGGGAAUCUUCGGCAAUGGACGAAAGUCUGACCGAGCAACGCCGCGUGAGUGAAGAAGGUUUUCGGAUCGUAAAACUCUGUUGUUAGAGAAGAACAAGGAUGAGAGUAACUGUUCAUCCCUUGACGGUAUCUAACCAGAAAGCCACGGCUAACUACGUGCCAGCAGCCGCGGUAAUACGUAGGUGGCAAGCGUUGUCCGGAUUUAUUGGGCGUAAAGCGAGCGCAGGCGGUUUCUUAAGUCUGAUGUGAAAGCCCCCGGCUCAACCGGGGAGGGUCAUUGGAAACUGGGAGACUUGAGUGCAGAAGAGGAGAGUGGAAUUCCAUGUGUAGCGGUGAAAUGCGUAGAUAUAUGGAGGAACACCAGUGGCGAAGGCGGCUCUCUGGUCUGUAACUGACGCUGAGGCUCGAAAGCGUGGGGAGCAAACAGGAUUAGAUACCCUGGUAGUCCACGCCGUAAACGAUGAGUGCUAAGUGUUGGAGGGUUUCCGCCCUUCAGUGCUGCAGCUAACGCAUUAAGCACUCCGCCUGGGGAGUACGACCGCAAGGUUGA